GACGAACGCUGGCGGCGUGCCUAAUACAUGCAAGUCGAGCGAAGCGGCGGGUGGGUGAGUAACGCGUGGGUAACCUGCCCUUAAGUCUGGGAUACCAUUUGGAAACAGAAGCUAAUACCGGAUACUAAAGGAUGGACCUGCGGUGCAGUAGCUAGUUGGUAAGGUAACGGCUUACCAAGGCAAUGAUGCAUAGGCGACUUGAGAGAGUGAUCGGCCACAUUGGGACUGAGACACGGCCCAAACUCCUACGGGAGGCAGCAGUAGGGAAUCUUCCGCAAUGGACGAAAGUCUGAUGGAGCAACGCCGCGUGAGUGAAGAAGGUUUUCGGAUCGUAAAGCUCUGUUGUUGGUGAAGCGGUAAUCAACCAGAAAGUCACGGCUAACUACGUGCCAGCAGCCGCGGUAAUUC
rnacentral:rRNA from 1 species